rnacentral:rRNA from 1 species
AGGACGAACGCUGGCGGCGCGCCUAAUACAUGCAAGUCGAGCGAGAACCAGGGCUUGCCCUGGGGAGAGCGGCGAACGGGUGCGUAUCACGUGAGCAACCUGCCUCAGAGACCGGAAUAACUCGAGGAAACUCGGGCUAAUGCCGGAUGCCCUCGGUGGACCGCAUGGUCCGGCGAGGAAAUGGAUUCCGCUCUGAGAUGGGCUCGCGGCCUAUCAGCUUGUUGGUGGGGUAACGGCCUACCAAGGCAACGACGGGUAGCUGGUCUGAGAGGACGAUCAGCCACACUGGGACUGAGACACGGCCCAGACUCCUACGGGAGGCAGCAGUAGGGAAUCUUGCGCAAUGGGCGAAAGCCUGACGCAGCGACGCCGCGUGCGGGAUGAAGGCCUUCGGGUCGUAAACCGCUUUCAGCAGGGACGAAAUUGACGGUACCUGCAGAAGAAGGCCCGGCCAACUACGUGCCAGCAGCCGCGGUGAUACGUAGGGGUCUAGCGUUGUCCGGAAUCAUUGGGCGUAAAGAGCUCGUAGGCGGUUCGGCAAGUCGGAUGUGAAAUCUCCACGCUCAACGUGGAGGGGCCAUUCGAAACUGCUGUGACUCGAGUCCGGUAGGGGAGUUCGGAAUUCCCGGUGUAGCGGUGAAAUGCGCAGAUAUCGGGAGGAACACCAGUGGCGAAGGCGGAACUCUGGGCCGGAACUGACGCUGAGGAGCGAAAGCGUGGGGAGCGAACAGGAUUAGAUACCCUGGUAGUCCACGCCGUAAACGUUGGGCACUAGGUGUGGGACUCUAUCGACGGGUUCCGUGCCGUAGCUAACGCAUUAAGUGCCCCGCCUGGGGAGUACGGCCGCAAGGCUAAA